rnacentral:tRNA from 1 species
GUGCCUGUGGCUCAAGUGGCUAAGGCGCCAGCCUCAUACACCGGAGCUGGCAGGUUCGAAUCCAGCCCAGGCGCA